UUCGUUUGUUUAUUUUUAGAGAAAGGGAAAUGAAAUGAAAAAGAAAGGGAGAAAAACAUCAGUGUGUGGUUGCCUCUCGAGAGCCCCCCACUGAAGACCUGGCCCGACACCCAGGCAUGAGCUCUCAACUGGGAAUCGAACCGGCGACCCUUUGGUUCGCAG